rnacentral:lncRNA from 1 species
AGUUAGUGACAAGCUUUGUUGUCACAAAGAGUUUUUGAUUCUUGUCUUGUAAUAGCUCUUUUUUGUCAUUAGUGAUCUUCAACAUUGUCAGCUCCAUUUCAAUAAACUCACAAUUUAGCAUGGUAAAUUAUUAUCUAAAAUAAAUAGAAAGAAGUAACCUAAACAAUUGAUAAUCAAAAAUAGUUGUUGCAUUAGGCUACAUGCCAAUAAAGCAUAUUAAGGACUCAAAUAUCAUAUUGAGGUGCACAUUACCCAACAAAGGUCUAUAAAAGUAACAUUGUUCUGACAGCCCUCGACAAUAUUGUCCCACAGUUUGACACCCCGUAGGGCCGUGGGUUUUGUUCUUGGCGGUGUUGGACAACACAACAGGCACUCGCAGGCUACCUUACCAAAAGGCCUCGUCGAGGUGGGUGAUACCACAACAGACUUAUUAAAACAGCCCAGGCUCUCUCCCUAGCUGAUGUGGGAGCAUGACACUCCACCCUCCUAAGGAGACCCAGCGUCCUCGCUGGCACAUCGGGGUCGGGAGUCGGUUUUGAUACCAACUCUGACAGCCCCUCGACAAUAUUGUCCCACAGUUUGACACCCCGUGGCGCCAUGGGUUUUGUUCUUGGCGGUACUGGAUAACACAACAGUUACCCGCAGGCUACCUCACCAAAAGGCCUCAUCGAGAUGGGUGAUACCACAACAGACUUAUCAAAGCAGCCCGGACUCUCUCCCUAGCCGAUGUGGGAGCAUGACAAUUGUGCCCAAAUAUCACAUAUUCAUAAGGUACGUUUACAAAAGGAAUUAAGUUCAAGAAACCAAAGAACAUCUAAGCGAACCCUUGCACGAGCAAAUUGCGACUUUGUCUUCAACGUCCUUUAGUCAUUGCUAUAGAUAGCUCCCAAAAUUUUGUUUAAAUAGCAUUUAUCUGUAAUAAAGUAGUAAAACAAGUAGAUAAGGGGAGGAUUAAAACACUGAAGGAGAAGUAACAAUAGUUAGGUUGCUUAGCUAAAAUAUGCAAUCCAAUAAGAACUUCAAUAAUUAAAGCUGUACAUUCAAAAUCAGCCCAAAAAAAAAAAAACCAAAAUCAACCCCGAACUAUUGCACAAAAUCAGCUCAAGAAGUAAGUACUGCUAUUAAACUUCAGCUUCAAAGGAAUAAUAUAACAAGUUGAUAAGGCAACAAGCACUGCUAUAAGUACUGCUAUGAACAAUAUAACCAGUUGAUAAGACUACAAGCACAACACUAAAGGAAAAACAACUUUGAUUCGCUUGCUUAGCUAAACAUUCAAAUAAACUAAACUGAACUAAACCAAAACAAUCCAAAGUAAUGCAUAGCAGAGGAUACAACGUGUCAAGUAUGAUAACCAAAGUAAUGUCAAUCACGAUACAAGGUGUCGAGCUACCCAUUCAUAUAGGAGAAACUGAGGCAAUGUGUACCUCAUUUAUAUAAGAGAAACUGAUGCAAUGCGUAUCGUGAGAAAGAUGUCUAUGGGUUUCUCAAUCUUUACAACCCAUUUCUCCAAACCACUAGAGGAUGAAUUACAUGGAGUGGUACUACAUAAACAAUAUUAACAUUAUCAAAAUCCAUAUGCCCAAAUUACUCCAAUCACAAUAACAACUAAAAGCUACUGAAAAGCAUUGGCAUUGCCGUGUAAAUGCUUGUUAAAGCAGUAAAUACUGUAAAUUGCCAGACUUAAUAGCAACCAUCCAAGAUCAGAACUCAUCACUAUCCCAGCUUGUGCUCAAACACAUUACCUCAAUAACACCAUCAUAUCAUACAAAAACUCAAAUCAUUUCAAUAUUUCAAAACAACAUAUGCUAAGCUUAGAGAGCACAAAUUUCUGUAAUGAAAGAUCCAAAGUUCAAAACUUUCAAAGCUAAAUAAGAGAACUUUAAAAGCAGCAAAUUAAAGAAAAACAAUUAAGUCACCUCUUCAAUAAUCUUCGUUGCCACUCUAUCUUUAACACUCCCUCCUAGCUUCAAGAAUUCAGUAUUGCUUAAAAUCUAACAAAGUAAAUACUCGUCAUCAAUUCAAGUAAAUAAUAAGCUGAAUAGAACUGUGAAAAAUAAUAUGUUUGUUGAGAAAAAAAUUACCUCAUAGCCAGUGGCAUCAGAUAGGCUAUUGAUUUAUCAGGUACAUUUAUUUUUCAAGAAAGAAAAACAAGCACCCUGUCCUCUUCACCAUAUCCUAUUUUAUGCCCUAAGGUAGAAUACUUUGAAAACCAUUUCAAAUUAGACUUCAAAUCACAAACUACUCCUAAGUAUAAACUACUUCGCCAUACUUAAGUAACCAAAACUGAAUUGCAUGGAGAAAUAAAAGAUAAUUAAGGUAAGAACAUAGAUGAUAAUUUGAACCAAAAAGCACAGGAAUUACCCAUCCACAAUGGCAUAACAUAUGUAUAAACUACUUCACCAUACUUAAGUAACCAAAGUUGAAUUGCACGGAUCACAUACAAAAGUUGAACUAAUGUUAAAAGGAUCACAUUUGAAAGUAGCAUGCUAACAAAGUCUAAAGUAACUGUAAUUGCAUUAUGUAGCAGCAAAGGACAGAUCCAUAACCAACAUUAUGUUAGUCAUCAAUACCUCUGCUAGAAUAAGACCAAAAAGGAGGAGAAAUAUUAUCAUCUCCAUGCAAAAAAAAAAAAAAAAAAUCCAAUUCACCAAUAUUUACAACCAUCAAGCCACGAGAUUUUCUCACAAGUUACCAAUCAGACAAGGUUUAAUACUCAUACAUGAUUUAGAGGUUUGUGUUCCAGAAUGAAUUUAUAAGUUAGCAGAAAAAACUCAAGCCUACCAUAUCUCAAGUUGCAGGACUACAUCCAUAGCUAAUAUACAGCUUUUUAGGCAAAGUACAAAUGCAAUGAUGUAGUGCAACUUGUCUAGGUUUCUAGAAAAAAAUGAAUAAAUGGAAACAAAAGAAAUGGGAGUCGAUUUGUGAGUGUGCACAUUGACACAAAGAUAGAGCACUUCCAACCGGGAAACAUUAGGAAAGAGCUUGAAGUCUUGACAGAUAAACCAUUAGGUUUAGGCAUUGAAGCUUGGUCAAUUUGGUUCAUAUUAAGAUACCAAAAUAUGCAAGAAAUGCAGACUGCCAAGCAUCACCUAAUGGCCUUAUCAAAAAAGCUAAACAAAACAAGAACCAACUGAAGCUCUAAGUCCAAAAUAAUAGAAAGCAACUAAACGACAACAGACACAAACAAAAACAAGCCCUAUUAGAGAAUACACUUAAAGACUAGACCUAUCUAAGGACAUAAAAGCAUAACAAAGAACAAGGAACAAACAAAGCAAGAGUGCUGAUACGUAACAACAAAAUCAAGAGUGCUGAUACGUAACAAGAGUGCUGAUAUGUAACAAGAGUGCUGAUACGUAAAAUCAAGACAUAAACAAUAUGCAUGAAGCCUCAGAACCAACUUAACAACAAAAGAAAGUAAGCACAACCCAUAUCACUCAAAAACAGGGGAAAAAGAGAAAAAGAGUACUUAAGAUAAGAUUAAUUGCAUAUCCCACCAAACAACAAAAACGCAGCCAAGGGAAUAAAACAUUUAACUUAGAGAGAAGUUAAAAAAAAACUAUCUGAGGACAUAAAAAGCAAACCAGAGUGCAAGAAACGAACAAAGCAAAAGUGCUAAGACAUAAAAUUGAGACAUAAAUAAUUGGUUAAAAGAGGAUAAAGAACAACAGUAAGGCAGAGCAGCUACACAAUUUUGUCUAGUUUUUCCUCUUCUUUAGAUUUUUACCUAGUCAACUCCUUCCCACAACUCUCAACCUCUUUGCCCUUGUCGGUACACAAUAAUCCAGCCCACCACACCAACACCACUCCUUCUUUUCUUUCUUCACACCACCACACAAAUGAAACCCACAAUGCUAAAGAAAUUUACCUAAAAAUGCUAUAGAAAGCAUAACUAAGGUAAGAAACUUUAGAAAAACUAGACAAAUGAUGGAGAAGAAGAGAAUUUACCCAAAAAUUGAAUGUUGGGAGCACAAAAUUGGGUUAAUAAAAUUUGGGGGAAACCGAUUAUUGAGCAAAAAAAAGAGAAAUUUACCUUUUUACAGCAAAUGCGUUGAGGAAAGAUAUCAAAAUUAGUAGCCCAAUAAGGAGGAAUGCUCGAGCAUUAGUAAGAAAGAAAUUGAGAGAGGUCUUUUUUUGACAAUAUACAUUUAAUUUUUGACUCUACAAACUGAGAGAGAAGAAACAACAACCUCGGCAAGUGCAGAGAGCAGCAGAAUCGGCAGGUGAGGGGCGUUGUAGAGGCCAACGGCAUCGAAGGACACAAUUAAAAUGGCGGACAAGGCGGUGACUAUUCGAACCAGGAAGUUUAUGACUAAUUGGCUUCUCUCUAGGAAGCAAUUCAUGAUUGAUGUUCUACAUUCGUGGCGACCUAAUGUUUCCAAGGAUUAGUUGAAGGAGAAAUUGGCAAGGAUGUAUGAGGUCAAGGACCCGAAU